rnacentral:tRNA from 2 species
GGCCCAAUGGUCUAGUAGUAUGAUACGUGCUUCGGGUGGUUUACCCGGUACAUUGAGUACCUGAGAGUGCACGGGGUCCCGGGUUCAAUUCCCGGUUGGGCCC